GGGUACACGAGUGGCGAACGGGUGAGUAACACGUGGGUAAUCUGCCCUGCACUUCGGGAUAAGACCUGGGAAACCGGGUCUAAUACCGGAUAUGAACUCCUGCCGCAUGGUGGGGGUUGGAAAGUAUUACGGUGCAGGAUGAGCCCGCGGCCUAUCAGCUUGUUGGUGGGGUAAUGGCCUACCAAGGCGACGACGGGUAGCCGGCCUGAGAGGGUGAUCGGCCACACUGGGACUGAGACACGGCACCAGACUCCUACGGGAGGCAGCAGUGGGGAAUAUCGCACAAUGGGCGAAAGCCUGAUGCAGCGACGCCGCGUGGGGGAUGACGGUCUUCGGAUAGUAAACCCCUUUCAGUAGGGACGAAGCGCAAGUGACAGUACCUGCAGAAGAAGCACCGGCUAACUACGUGCCAGCAGCCGCGGUAAUACGUAGGGUGCGAGCGUCGUCCGGAAUGCUGGGCGUAGAGAGCUCGUAUGCGGUUUGUCACGUCGUCUGUGA
rnacentral:rRNA from 2 species